UCUCUUCUUUCCUUCACCCGGCAAAAUACUCUUUCUUCUCUAACCCUUCACUUUCUCACUCUAUAUCCAUCUUUAUGCACUAAAUGUCUUUCACAUUUUAAGCUUGUUUUUAGAGUGAUUAAAGUGAGAUUUUAUGAAGCCAUAGGUGAGGAAGUUGAUGAGUUGAGGAGAGUUUUUAAUUGAGACCAAUCUUGCAAGGGGCUAGGAAUUUCAAAUUUGGGGGCUGUUUUGAAGAUCUUGCUUGGUUGAGAUAGGGGUUGUCCUAAACCUCAAUUCUUUUGUUUUUCUUAUGAAUUAACCUUCUUAGUUGAACCACUAUAUGACAAGAAUUGAAAUUUCCUUGCAAACAUGUUAUGUAGUUAAAUAUGAAAUUUAUAGUUUGUAUAUUAAUGGUGUGUUGUGGUUUUCUUUCUUUUAAAAAUUGAAAUUUUUGCCCUUUAAAUAUUGGUUGUGUUCAUGUGCAUAGAACAAAAAAUUCUAGUAAUUACAAUGGUUGGGUAGUUAUGCUUAUAAACUGAAAUUCCUAUGAUAAUUUAACCAUGAAAUUGUUUUGUUGUAAGCUUCUUUUUGUUAUUGUGUUGUUGUUGCAAGUCUGAAAUUUUGCUGCUUACAUGGGGAUGACAUGUUAUUUGUUUUAAACAUUGAAUUAGAGCUCUUCUUAAUGUCGGUUGUGUUUAUGUGUAUAAAAUUGAAAUUAUAGUAACCAUAAUGGUUGUAUUGUUGUUGAUUAGAUGUUGAAAAUUUGAUGUUUAGUUUACCUCACUUAUGGAUUGUUUAGUUCUAAGUUAGGUGUUGUUAAUAUUGUUUAAAAAUAAUAAUAAUAAUAAUUAAAAAAAAAAAAAAAACCCCGAUUGGUACAUUGUCCUUAAAGCGUGCAUGAUGGUUUUGAUGUUGGGUGUUCUCUAAACUGAAAAAUUAGUUAUUACAACGAUGGUGUUAUAGUUUUAUAUAAAACUGAAAUUUGUACCUUGUUUCUAAAGCAUGAAUAAGAUUGUUUUGUUGUAAGGAUUAUGGUGGUUGUUGUUGCUCAAAAACUGAACUGGGACCUUGACUUCAAAACAUGAAUGAUUAUGUUGUGGGUUUAAAAUUGUCAUUUUAGUUUGUUAUUGAGUACAACUUAUAGAACUGAAAUUUGAUGUUGGAAAUGAUAUAACAUUAUGAGAUUAUGAAGUGUAUCAUUCAUGCAUUACAUUGGGCAUUACAUGGGGCAGAACAGAUUUUUUUUAAAAGGAGAAGAUUUUAUUUUCGAAAUGAAAGCAAAAUCUGAAAUUUGGGGAAAAUAUUCGAUAGAAUUUUGGAUAAUAGAGAGAGACAUUGGCACCUCAUUAACAUUGCAUUUCGUUGCGUUUACGAGAUCGUAUUAUGUGAUGAUUAUUAUUUCCCGAACAAGCAUGACCCUUUUUCUUAUCGCUAUUCUUUGUUUGGAUUCACGGAGGCAUUAAGGAGUGCGUUUUAGGCAUCUUCUACUGAACCGUUGUGCUCACUCCUUACUAUUAUUUUUCAGGACACGAAAAGGAAGUGGCGAAAGACAUCCCCCACAGGCACUUAUCCCGAAAAUAAGCUAACUUAGCCAAAAUAAGAGCUUAAUUGAAGCAAUUCUGGGAUUAAACAAAGAAAUGAGCAAAGUGGAGAAAGAAGGAAGCAAAUGAAGCAAAAGGUGGCAAGCUGCAAAGUUCGAUCGAUCUAAGUUCAAGGUUCUAUCGAUCGAACAAUGAUCGAUCUCAGCACUUCAAGAUAGAUCCAAGCUUUGACCCAAAAGUAUAAAGUUCCAAAAGUUUAAUCGAUCCAACACCAUCAUUCGAUCGAUCGAACACUAUUGUCCUUAUUCAAAUGAUUGAUACUAUCUACAGCUGUACCACCCACUAACCACUUUUGUCCUUUUCCCAUAAAUAUCUCGGAUUUGUCUUUUUCCAAAAAGCUCAGCCAGUUGGAUCGAUCCAGCCUAAGUUUAAUCGAUCUUACUUACUUUCGAUCGAUUCAAGUUCAAGGUUCAAUCGAUCGAACUUCCUCUAGUGCGAAAAAGUUAAAAUUCCAUCUCAUUGAAAGUUGUCCUUUAUCCAAUCAUUAAGGAAUAUUGGGUGCACGACCCCAGCCUAUUUUUGGUGUCAUUUUGACCUACCUAUAUAAGGAUAAGGAUUGUUUUUACACAAAAAAAAAAAAAAAAAAAAAAAAAAAAAAAAAGCUAACAUUUAUUUUCAUAUCAUCUCUUAGAGAAAAAGUUUAAAGGAUAAGGAGGCUAGAGACACCAUUGGAGUUCUAUAUCAACAAUGAGCAGAUUUCAACCAUGGAAUUAGCCCUUGGGGGUUGGAGCAUCAUUACCAUGAGUGGCUAGACAUCUUCUUGGGGCUAGAGUUAGCCCCAAGCAUGCUUUCUAUAUCUUAAUCUUGUGUAUUAUUGAGGAAUUAGUGUUGUAAUUGAUGUUUUGAUACUUUGAUAUAUAUAUAUCUUGUUUAUUUAAUGAUU